UCUGUUUUCAUGACCUCAUAUGGAAUUACUCAUGUACUGACUAUACCUUUUUGUGUCAAAUAAUCUCACCCCUCUACUUCUCAUAUUCGUAGUUUAUUUCAAAACUAUUUUUAUCUAUCAUUUAAUACACUUUAUUUACAUUCUCGUUUUCUAAGUACUGGUAUAUUUUAUUGCUCAAUAAAUUUUUGACCGCGGAAAUAUUUGAAAACAACUCACGUUAGGUCUAAACUACUAACAAAACUUUAGUAAUUGUGCUAGCAAAGUAAUUUAAUAGUUAAUAAAAUUUUUGACGUGCGCUAUUUUUCAAAAAUAUAUAUUAAAUUCAUUACUUUGCUUGCAGAUUGUAAUAUGAAACGGUGAAAUAAAUAGAAAAAAUAGGGGAAAUAACCAAUACGAGAUCAAGAAUACUUUGAAAAUAUUAUAAUGACAAUAAAAAAUUGCUUAAAGAAUCGGAGAACGCAAGCUUGAAAUGGAAUUACCACUCAGAUAAAAUUAAAAUCGAUUGAGAG